rnacentral:tRNA from 1 species
GGACCCGUAGCCUAGCCUGGAUAGGGCACCAGCCUUCUAAGCUGGGGAUCGUGAGUUCAAAAUCAGCAUACAGUGCUCAGCAUUCUGCCUGCCGUAUGCUGAUGACUCUCUCACCGGGUCCG